rnacentral:lncRNA from 1 species
CCAAGGCAAAAAGAUUUGUCUUAUUCACUAAAAAAAGAAGGGUGUGUAAGUAUGUCGUCAUAAUGAGUAAUGUUGUACAAAUAAAAUGCAAGGCCACGCUUUUGAAGAAACCGAUAAAUAAAGUGAUGAAGGAAACUGGCCAAUUUGCAAGAGAAGGGAAAUUGCAUCCGUUAAAAAGACAAGGGGAAGGAGCAGAAAAUUACAAGGAGGAAGAGAAACAAAGCUCAGAAGAUGGAGAUUUUCUUUGAAGAGAAGAUAAUUUGUGUGGGAGCUUGAAGAAGAGCAUAGUUAAACCAUGGAGAACAAAACUGCUGCAUCUGCAUAGUCAGGAGUUUGAUUUCUUUUAUCUUCUUUGCUAUUAAUUCUCUGGUUAAAUUGUUUUUCUUAUGAAUUUUAUGAGCUCUCUUGUCUAAAACUAAGAUGGUGGUGGUAUGUCAAAACUUGAGUAGUUAUCAUGGUAGAAAUCAAGUGAUUAAUUUUCAUUCUUUAUUGCUACCUUCAAUUUUGGAAGAAAACUUAGGUUUCCACCAUGGUUUUGGGGGUGGAUUCAAGUAGUAUCUUCAAUUGAAUCUUUAUUUUUAUUUAAUUAAAUAAUUAUUUAAGUUAAAUUUCACAAAAAUAUAUCCAUUUUUGUUGUUGAAUUAUGUAAUUAAGCUCUAAGUUUAGAGCUACCUCUCUAUAUUUCACAUUCUUAAGGUUAAUUUAAUUUGGAUUAGCCUUUUCAAUUAUAGAUUAAUUUUAUUUACAUGAUGUACCAAUGGCUGAAUUUGAAUUGAAAUUGAAAAAGAAUAAAAAUAGAAAUUAGUUCUAACAAAUUCUAGUUUGUUUGUAUCUUCAAUUUUUCGGCAUGCAAUCUAUUAGGCUUUUAUGUGUAUGUAUAUAUUUUAGAGAAUAUGUAUUUUAUAUUUUUAAGCCCAAGCUACAAGCCACCGCAUUCUCUUAGUUUUCAUAUAGGAAGAAUAAUUCCUAUUAUUGGUUUGUUAAUGUAAAAAAAAGAUUGCUUGGAAAAAUAAAAAUGCUAUAAAAAUUUUGUUUGAACAAAAUAUGAUAAAAGAAUUGUUUCGUUAAUGUGAAAGUUCUUUUGUUUACAAUAAUCAUUAAGCCAAACAUUCCGAAAUGAAUCAUAUUUGGAAAUAAAUAAGAAGCAAUUCCUACAAAUCAUAGUCACACAUGUGUAGAAACUUUUCUUUUAGGAAAUUUUAAUAAGUUAUUUUUGCAAUGUGUCAUGUUGAUACUUAAAUUUGAUUCAACAGUGGGAUGACUUUUUUGACAUUUAGGUCACGCAAUUCUUUCGGACCAGGUUAGGAGGGUGACAUCGGUAUGGUGUUGGCCAAAGACCCUCCAAUGCUUAAGUCAGUUGAGUAUUUGAGAGUAAAGUAUACGAUAGUUUUG